AAAUAUCACGUUGUGCCGUUGAUUCUUCUUGUAUGUGUGUUGCCUCGAUUCGUUGAAAAAUUAAAAUCACGAAGCGCGGAACAUUGGUUUUGCGCGACUGAUAGAAGUGGCGAACACUCCGGGAUAAACUAGGUGCGAUCGCCGUGCUUGGUCACGGGUGCCUCCCUGUGUUCCAUCGACGUUUCUCCCUUUCAACGUUUUUCUUCUGCGCUACUACACACUUUUCGGCGGGAUUUGGCAGCCUUGCAUGAAGAGUCAAUUCUCGGCAUAUUGGACGAUAAGUAAUCGUCUUGAUUAAAAUUAACUUUGAUAUGAUCGACGCGCAACUAGAAGAAAAAGUCGUUGUCGCGAUGAUAUAUAAUUCAGUAUCGCGCACAGUUAGGUAUGCAAAACUACACGCUAAAUCGGUCCAAUAAUUCCUGAGAUAUUUUGGGUAUCGAUUAGCGAGAACGAGCUUCACGAGAAGCAGGAAUAACAGCGUUACAUAUCAUUUUGUAACGGGCUUCAUAUAAAAUAAAAAUUCAAACAUUGAGCGUUUUUUUCGAGCCACUCAGAUAUAUGUAACCCCUUAAAUUAGAAAGAGGAGCAAAA